GUGUCUGGCGAUCUUUCAUCUUUCUUUCAUCGACCUCUCCGUGCUUGUUUGCACGUCUUUCUGAAUCGUAUUAUAUCUUCAUCAUCAGAGGCUUUCGAUACAUCUGUUUUAGUAAAGCCUUUCGGCUUUAAGCACUUCAACAUGAGAGCAAAGUGGCGUAAGAAGCGUAUGCGAAGGCUAAAGCGUAAACGCAGGAAGAUGCGUGCGAGGUCUAAAUAGAAUGGUACAUCUGGAUGGGGUGAACAUUUAUUUGCAGCCUACAGACUUAUGUUUAUCUAAUAAAUAAGUUAAAAUCCACUGUUACUUUUGUGCAUAUUGCAGGAACCUUACAACUAUUUACUAUUCCCACCAGUCACUAGUCUAUAAUAGUAAAUCAUUCAGGGUACAGCUGCUGCAUUCGAGAAU